CCGUCCCCGUGAUCGCCCGCCACAACUUGCUCCGCUAGCGCCCCUCGUCUUGCCGACCAGCUAUAACGUAGAAUGCACAGGCGCGAUUGUUUUCUUCUCUUUUUACUUCUGCGCGCCAGUGCUACCCUACUUUUUCAACAUCGUAUUGUCAGUCGCGUUACGUGCGCCUGGCUCAUUCACACCCAUAGUCUCGCGAUCCGUUUCUCCAAGGCUCCCACUCAAGCCGUGCUGAGAAGCCGGAGCUGUCACGCCUCAGCUUAUACCAGUGCGCGCGACCUUAUCCCUCUGCUUCUCUGUAGUUGCGCGCUGCAUCGACCUCACGCGACCAGCGCUCUGUCAAGAGCAGCGAGGCGCGAUUUCUGCACGGAUCCUCUGCCUUUACGUGUUGCCGAGCUCUUUGGGUGGCCUCUAAGGACAUACUCAUGGGCAUCUCACCCAGUCGCGAGGCGCAGGAUCAGUACCUCGAUGAGCUCUGCUAUCGAAAGAAGAAGGCAUGGCGGGCCGACCGUCGCCGAAAGGAGGUGUCACUGCUGCCGCUGACGAAGAAGUUCAUGCACUUCGUACAACCCGACUCGGCCACGUCUCUCGACUCUCGAACGCCAUCCAAUUCGGGCAGCCGCAACUCCAACACGGAUACAAGCAGCUCCCAAACGUCACGCAGCUCACGGCGCGACUACUGCCCUGCGCAGUUAUGCCUCGACGCAGCUCCGGCCUCGUUGCCGUUCGUGCAACAGCUGUACAACGCCUACCGAGAGCCAGGUACACAGUUUUACUGCCGGAAGGAAUCAUGGGGGACACUGAACGCGCUCCCACGCGACCUAUACUACCCUACAGUGGAGUCUUUCUACGCGGCUACAGUCAGCUGCUACGAGGGGGACAUGUACGAGACCAACGAGGAUAUGCAGCGGGCGUACGACCAGCAGAAGCUUGCAUGCCAGCUCCGAGCCUUCGGCUCGAUGCAAAAGGGCGCAGCGCCGACGCGGCGGCAGAAAAAGUCUACUCAGGGUCCGCAAAUUCGACCGACGCCGUGCGCCAUCUGCUUUGAGUACCCUACCAGUUCCAUAGCCCCACCCCCGAGAGAGGGGGCGGACGCGUUUUCGGCCGCGAACGCCAACCGCUGCGGCGCCCCGCACGGAAGUGUGGUGUUUGCGCCGCACUGUUCCUUCAUGGUAAUUGGGUUUGUCGGACUGGUGCCGGUGAGACGGCAGAAGACGAAGGCUUCGGCAGAGUCCUUCCUCCGGCCACCGGCCGAGAGCGCCGGGGACGAGGGAGAAGGCGAGUGCACUGGCACGCGAGAUGAGCCCGCCGAGUACGAGCUGGUUGCUUUCAUCUCGAAAUCGGCUGGCGAGCAGCAUCUCGGUCGUGCUUUGUUCCAAGCAGCAUUUCUUUACGUGGAUCAGUGUCGCCGUGCGGGACUUCCGGGCAACCCGCCCCUGCCGAGCACGCGCUUCUCGUGCUUCUUGAUGGACGUGCCUUCCCUGUGCUUCCUGCGCGAGGUGCGUCUGCGGUGCGCGGAACUGCAGUGGACGCGGCGGCUGGCGCGAGCGUUGCGGCGAAUACGCAUUGCGGCGCAUCAUUUAGCGAUUGAGAUGAACAACGCUGUUGCAUCGGAGCUGUGCGCCUUUAUGGCGGAGUGCUUCCUGAAGCUCGACUUUCACCCUUCGCCGACGCCGCCGGUGUUUCUGUUUGCCGGCUUCGUCGGUGAUGCCGGAUCUGCCAUGGUGGUUGACGCGAACGCGGCUUUCCCUUCCGCAGCUAUCCACGCUGCCCCGCUGCCAAGCUCUGCAAGUGCGGAAGUGCAGGUUUUGCUGCAGAGCAGGGCGGACAGUGAGGGGCUCCCUGGCCACGGUGGCGGGAGUGCAUUGUGCAGCGGGUCUUGCGGUGGUGCCAAGGAGAGCUCCAACGGCGGAACGUUUGGUUCGGCAGGGCCCGGCGCUGCAACGGUGAAGCUGGUCUGCGUUGUGGGAACCAAUCAGCUGACGGUCGGGAAGGUGGUGUAUCCCCACGCGACGGUGCUCGAGCGGGUUGUGCAGGUCGGCACGGGUGCCUUUGUGGACGCGGACUGGGCUGUGGCACAGGAUUUGUCAGGGCAGGAGAUGCUCGCGACGGAUUUUUACGACCCGGACCCUGAGGACGCGCGGGACUACAGCGUUUGCGUUCGACCGCUCGAAGAGCCAGGCCCGCGGCUGACGGCGGUGGCCUCGGACGUUAUCUUGUCGUGGUCGAAGAACUUGUAUGUCCAAGCCCGUGUAGCGGAUACCUCAAACAGUCACUGGGUGAACUCGUACCCGCUGGACUACUACACGGCGACGAGGCUCAAGGUGAUGCCACCUCCCCAGACUGAGGACCCAGCUGCAAGACCGUCGAGUCCGUCGCCACUCUCCACCGUAGCACCCGCAGCGCCAUCCAGGACGCAGGGCGGCAGUGACGGCAGGGUGCGCUCCUCUCCACUCACGGCGUCAAACGUCAAAGCCCUCUCGCGCGCCUCGCCUUGUGGCAGCAAUGGAGGGCACGCUGCCAACGGUAAGGAUGCCGCUGACGCCGGCGCCAACCCGUCCGCGUCCCCCGAGGCCGCUACACGCGCGUUCUAUCUCUGGGAGUUCGAGCAUCAAGGCCGCUUCUACACGAUUGGACUUGUGCCCAACUUUGCUCGAGCUGUUCAGCGAGGGCGAGGCAACGCGGUGGAUCGCGACGCCUCGAACCUCCGCAACAAGAACUCGAACCGGGAGAGGAACGCGCCUACAGCGGCCUGGGCUUCCACUGGUGGCGAUGUGAUCACGAGCGCAGUGGACCCGAUGUCCGAGACGGAUAUAAGCUCUGCCGUGUCGCAGCACAAUGAGAAUAGUCGUUCCUACAGCGAUCGCAGCUCCCGGAGCGGCGAGACGUACCACACCGCGGGAUCGUCACACUCGACGAUAAGUAACCUUCAUCUUGCCAGUGGCCGGCGCACCGUCCGGCAGCGUCGCAUGCUCCUCUCUCUGGGGACAGGCGAGGCCUACGAGAACGGCAUCCCCGUUUCAAGCGCCAUUCCUCCGGUGAGUGGAAGCUGCCAUUCACGCGCCAUGCCCGAUACUGCAAGCUCCAUUCGGAAUGCGACAAACGCUUCCAUUCACAGCGGCGGCGGCGGCGCAGGCAUGACUAGCAAAAUCUUCAAUGCCAGCGAUGAAGCAGCCGCUGCUCUGCCUAUGAGCAGCGGCGGCAACGGCACGCUGAACUAUGUCGGCAGCGCUCACGAGAGCAGCGCCGCAUUUGGGAGUCACCCGGUCUCUGGCGAUGGUGUACCUCCCCCACAUGAGCUGCAGCAAUUGAAGAGGUACGUGAACACGCCAUAUGAGCACUCGCGCCAGCAGUUUCAGCCUGCCCAGGCGCUGCAGCGCCGCCUGUCUGAUGGUGUAUCUCGCGGCCUUCCGCCGAAGAGUGAUGCGCGCUUGUUCCCUCAAUUGCAGACUGGACUCGACCCGGACGAUGACGGCAUUGCUGGAAGCGACAUCCCCUCUCUUCACGGAUUUGGCCCAGGCGGCUACUCGGACGGGCUUGCUGACUACGCUGUCUAUGAGGGAUUGGGAGAGAUCGGCAUCUCCCCUGCUGAGUCCGCGAUAAAGGCAACAGCGCCGACGGCUGGUAGGAGGACGCUGCAGCCGCCACCAACGCAGCAGCAACAGCAGCCUGCUGGGGAACGGAAGGGCGACGGCCGCAGCGUUCUCGGGCCGUCUCGCGUGCUGGCCGACAACGGAAAGGCGGGCACUCAGGCCGCGCUGGUAACCAGCAAUCCGGGUGAGUUUCCAAUGAUGCCGCAGCCCCCGGUGCUGAGAGUGGCUGCGCAUCUGCAAGAGGUGAAAGACGCGGAUGGCAAGACAAAACUGCGAUGGGACUGGCGAAGCCUGCAUGAAAGGUAGAGUGCCGUCGCGAGCACACCAUUACUGAAGGAAUAGUGCAAGUCACGAAGGGCAACAGAGAAGCAUCCGGACAAGAUCGUGCCGAUAUGUGCACACGUGGUCUCAGGCUUACGAAGGAGCGUUCGAUGUGGCUCCGUGAAUACAGCUAUACGCGAGUGCAACCGGAGGAAUACCGUGUGCGUACUGUUCUGUGUUCCAAGCUUCUGCGCGCCUGCGUCACCUCUCUGUUCCGCUCUGUGCCGUUGCUGUCCGUGGGCGAAAAGUUACCUCUGCGUUUUCCCGCUCAUCCGUUGCCGCAUUGCGCUUGAGCCCCCCAAAAAUGUAUGCGCUCGGCUCCGUCGUUUGGGCGUCUAUUUUUUCCUGUUUUGCUUCGGCUUGUCUAUCGGCGUGUUGCUUCUUCGUGUGUUUUUAUCCCUCUCUCUUUUUCGUGUGUGUGUGUGUGCUCGGUCGCAGGCACAUCGGCUCUGACGGGCGCACAUCCGGGAGCGGGUUUCCGUCAAUGUGAUUCUCCGCUUUUUUUUCGCUCUUUCCUCCUCCGUGAGAAUUGUGCAGCCUCUCUCGCCUCUUUUAAUUGGCGUGCACGCGUCUCUGGAUGGGGGGAGGGCUCGAGUCUUUUGGCUUUCGCUCCUGCGGGUGAUGUCUCCAUCUCUCUCCGUGCGCGCGUACGCUCCCUCUCUUCUUCCGCUUCUUCUCCCUUGUUCAUGAGAGCACCUACACACACACACACACACCGAUGCAUACAUUUCUCUCUCUCUUUCGCUCGCAUGCUCUGUGUUCACCUUGCCUCCCCCCUCCUUUCCCCUCCCCUCGCCGUCAGUCCGCCCCCGUCUUCCUUUGCAUGCCUUUUUGUUUGUUUGGAGGGCACGCUCAACCUACUCUUUCCCCUCCCUCGCCUCGGUCGGUCGGUCGGUCUGAUGCUGUUGUUGUUGGCAUUUUGUUUGCAUUUGAAGUGAACGCGUUUUCGAUAUCAUCUCACACUUUUCGUCUUUUGAUGUGCAUGCCGGCUGCUCUCUGUCUGUCUGCCUGUCUUGUCCUACACCCUCAACCCUCCAGCUGUGGCCAUAUGGCGGCGAGCUGCUGACGCGCUGUCUGGCGCUGCACCCGCGUGUCAAGGCAAGGCGUGCGUGCUAAGCAGCCUGAAGCACCUCAGUGCACUUGCAGUGGCCGAUGUGAUUGCUUUUUCUCUCCAUAUUGCAGAGCGUCAGGGUUGCAGGGGUGCUUCACAGAUCUGGCUAUAUAUAUAUAUAUCGUUUUAGCUGUGCUCGUGCUGCGAACUGGCGGAAUGCAUGGAACACGAGAGCCACGAAGUAUGAGAUCACCGCGACAAAGGCUAUCAGACAUACAUGUGCACACAGGAUAUAUAUAUAUGUAUGCGUAGGCAUAUUGCCUUGAACUGGGGGACUCACCGAGCAGCUUAUUUUCUCUACCGCUGUGGCAUCGAUCUGCGCCUUUCGCUUCUUUUUCUGUUAUUGUUAUCUUUUUUGUCUCAAUGCUGUCAGUGUGUCUUGACCAGGCUCUACUUCUGCUGACGCGUGAAGCGCACCGUUCCAAACGUCGAUGUUAGCUCUCGGCCCUUCGCCUCCGUUGUGUCCUCUCUGUGGUUGUGGGCCGGCUGCUUCUCGCCUGCUCAUCUGUUUUCUGUCCGUCUCCCCACCGUCGUCGUCGCUCCCUUCCCAUCUCUCUGCGCGCCGGUCGUGGCGGUAUGGAGCUCUCGCUAGCCGAGAAGUGCAUCAUGUGGGCGCGUACGUCCGGGAAAAUCAUCCUCUGCGCUUAUCGUUUUCUUCACAUCGUUCUAACCACUUUAUAGCGGGGGACGCCUCAGCGCGUGCGAUCUCCGGGUCCGGCGCCGACUCUGUGUGAGGAAGCCGAGCAUCCCCUGUACCCUGCGAAUGCCGAGCCACCUCUGGUGGUGGCGGGGCCGAAUGCCUACGGCGUGGGGAGGUCAUGCCGACGUACGGCUGCGCAUGCCAGCGGUCGUGUCGUGGAUGGCGCUGCGCCGGGCCGACGUGGCAGCGUGAGCACGCUUGCACCAGGCACAUGAGGGCCAAUGCGCCAACGCGACUGGGAUGUAUCGCACCCGGCGUUCACACUGCGCACGGACAGGGAGCCUGAGCCGCGCCGAGGGACGCGCUGUGUGGGAGCCGGCACGGUGGGGGCUGCUGUAAGGCGGGCGGGUAGAGCAUGAGGCAGCGGUGGCGCCGCGAUAUCUAAGCCGGCACGCUGCUGCUGCAGCGUGUCUACGGCUGCGCUGCACCAGGCGACUGGGCCUGUGGCAGGGCGGGUGGAGCGGGGCUUGACUCACGCGGUGUGGCCGGUUGGUCGCGCUGCUGGAAGGAACGAACUUCUUCGCUGCUGGCGCUUUCGAGUGAGGCCGCUUGAUUUGGGGAGCCAAGACUCGACUUUGCUACCGUGGGGACAGCCGCAAGCUACAGAAUUCACAACAGCUAUCAUGUAGCUGGAUGGACACUGGCACAUUGUGUCACUGAAAAGAUGCAUCAUUUGUGGUGUGUGUCCGGGCGAGUUCGCUUGGAUGCGAUUUUGCUUUCUUUCCUUUUUUUUUUAGUGUUUACUCUCAUUCUUCUGCUUGCAGCUUUUUUUUUUGGUGACUUGGCGUCGCGCAUCACAGCACCGCGUAUGUGAUGGCUCAGGUAGUGCUAGUGUACAUGAUGCAGUCGGAGCCGUCUUGGUGAGUUCUUCGCUUGGGUUUCAGGUGCCUUGCUUCGCCGCUCUUGUUAUCUCUUUGGGCCCGCUCGAGAUGAAGUGGGGUUCGCAUGCAAUGCUAUAUUUGUUUUUUUUUUUCCACCUCACUGAUGUUGAUUCAUCGGGCUGAUCAUUCUGUAUUGGUUUUGCGUUUUGAUUCCGUCUCGCUGGUCGAGCAGCAAGAGGAAAGCGCAUGAAGGCGCAGCAGUCGUUACUGCGUGCUAAGAGGCGCUGUCGCCACUUUCGCAAGCGUCGAUGGUAGGGAGAGCCUUUCAGCUCAUCUUUGCUUUCUAUCCAAGCACGCGCCCCGUGGAACUCGUGUUCGCUAGGACCCGUAGUGAUGAUGAUGGUGGCCUAGGAGGUUCGUAGGGGUGGUGGUUCUAUUUCUUCAACGCCGUUGAGUCGGGCUGUGAAGGAGGUGUGCUGAGCGAGCGGUGAACGCACACUUGCGGCAGGCCAGCUUCAGAGGAUGGAAGCUGCGGCCGCAUAGAACUUUUUUUUUCCGGCUCGUUCAUGGUGUCUGCUUGAGCUGUCUUUUCUCUUACCGUUUACGAACCGGCGCAUGCGUACACUCCGUUUUCUGUGACGCGCGCACAUGUGCCAGGCGGCGUCUUGGCAGCCAUUUGCCCUCCGCAUUUUCGCAGGCAUGCUUCUUCAUGCAUGACUUGCGUGGGUUACUCGUUUUCCCUAUGAAUUUCCCUCCGAACGAAAAACGAAAAAAAAUACCCAACGACGGCGUGCGCUUCUCGUGUGGUGAACUGCUGCUUCCUCCCCGCCGAUACCGCGGCUCGUAUGGCGUUCUCUGGAGAUGGCGAAUGAG
rnacentral:misc_RNA from 1 species